UCUCCUGGAAACGGGUGGUAAUGCCGGAUGCUCCGCCCCCUCGCAUGGGGGGUCGGGAAGGCUUUUGCGGAAUGGGAUGGGGUCGCGUCCUAUCAGCUUGUUGGCGGGGCGACGGCCCACCAAGGCUUCGACGGGUAGCCGGCCUGAGAGGGCGACCGGCCACAUUGGGACUGAGAUACGGCCCAGACUCCUACGGGAGGCAGCAGUGGGGAAUAUUGCACAAUGGGGGGAACCCUGAUGCAGCGACGCCGCGUGCGGGAUGGAGGCCUUCGGGUCGUGAACCGCUUUUGAUUGGGAGCAAGCGUGAGUGAGUGUACCUUUCGAAUAAGCACCGGCUAACUACGUGCCAGCAGCCGCGGUAAUACGUAGGGUGCAAGCGUUGUCCGGAAUCAUUGGGCGUAAAGGGCUCGUAGGCGGUUCGUCGCGUCCGGUGUGAAAGCCCAUCGCUUAACGGUGGGUCUGCGCCGGGUACGGGCGGGCUUGAGUGCGGCAGGGGAGGCUGGAAUUCCCGGUGUAACGGUGGAAUGUGUAGAUAUCGGGAAGACACCA
rnacentral:rRNA from 1 species